UCGAAGACUCCAUCGUCCGACACGUAAGUGCUACGUUAGCUGAAGGUAAAGUCCACACUCAUUGUUUGCCUGGUGCUCGUGUUCUCGAUGUUUCUGCGCAGAUACCCGCGAUCCUGAAGGACGACGAGAGCCCCAGAGCGGUCGUGCUUCACGCCGGGGUUAACGACACCAUGCUGCGGCAGACGGAGACGCUGAAGAGGGACUUCAGGAGCCUGAUCGAGACGGUUCGCAGCACGACGCCCGCGGCGACGAUCGUCGUGUCAGGACCACUGCCCACGUAUCGACGAGGACACGAAAGCGUCCUAGACUGUUUCGCGCUGAUGGAUUACACCCCAGCAGAAUUGGAGCGGAGCUUCUCUCUGACAACAUCUCCAGGACACUUCGCUCCAUGUAACUAGAUUUACACAAGCUCCAGUCUGGUUCCAGAACACCUGAGAAGAGAUGAUGCUGACCCUCAGAGGAACCCAGAUGAUGCUAACCCUGAAUCAACAAACAGAACUAACAAUUAUUGCUAAAUGUGUGACUGAAUCAUAUAAUAACUUAAUUAAUAAUAUUGAUAGUUCAUCGUAGCUGACUACGUCUUGUAUUAUUAUUAUUAUUUUAAUUUUUUCUAAAAUCCUGUCAAAUGUGCACAAACUACUAGCUACUACUAAAUAUUGUAGAAACAUAAUUUUCUGUAAAGUUGCUUUGUAACGAUUUGUUUUGUAAAAAGCGCUAUACAAAUAAACUUGAA